UGCAGAAUGGAGAAAUGGUAUCUCGUCAGGCUCAUGACCUGAAGAACGUAGGUUCGAUUCCUACUUUUGCAA
rnacentral:tRNA from 1 species